rnacentral:rRNA from 1 species
GUGUCAGCAGCAGCGGUAAUACCGGCAGCUCAAGUGAUGACCGAUUUUAUUGGGCCUAAAGCGUCCGUAGCUGGCCGCACAAGUCCAUCGGAAAAUCCACCCGCCCAACGGGUGGGCGUCCGGUGGAAACUGUGUGGCUUGGGACCGGAAGGCGCGACGGGUACGUCCGGGGUAGGAGUGAAAUCCCGUAAUCCUGGACGGACCGCCGAUGGCGAAAGCACGUCGCGAGGACGGAUCCGACAGUGAGGGACGAAAGCCAGGGUCUCGAACCGGAUUAGAAACCCCAGUAGUCC